GACGAACGCUGGCGGCGUGCCUAAUACAUGCAAGUAGAACGCUGAAGGAGGAGCUUGCUUCUCUGGAUGAGUUGCGAACGGGUGAGUAACGCGUAGGUAACCUGCCUGGUAGCGGGGGAUAACUAUUGGAAACGAUAGCUAAUACCGCAUAAUAUUGACUAUUGCAUGAUAGUCAGUUGAAAGGUGCAACUGCACCACUACCAGAUGGACCUGCGUUGUAUUAGCUAGUUGGUGGGGUAACGGCUCACCAAGGCGACGAUACAUAGCCGACCUGAGAGGGUGAUCGGCCACACUGGGACUGAGACACGGCCCAGACUCCUACGGGAGGCAGCAGUAGGGAAUCUUCGGCAAUGGACGGAAGUCUGACCGAGCAACGCCGCGUGAGUGAAGAAGGUUUUCGGAUCGUAAAGCUCUGUUGUAAGAGAAGAACGAGUGUGAGAGUGGAAAGCUCACACUGUGACGGUAUCUUACCAGAAAGGGACGGCUAACUACGUG
rnacentral:rRNA from 1 species